GACGAACGCUGGCGGCGUGCUUAACACAUGCCAGUCGAACGGAAAGGCCCUGCUUUUGUGGGGUGCUCGAGUGGCGAACGGGUGAGUAACACGUGAGUAACCUGCCCUUGACUUUGGGAUAACUUCAGGAAACUGGGGCUAAUACCGGAUAGGAGCUCCUGCUGCAUGGUGGGGGUUGGAAAGUUUCGGCGGUUGGGGAUGGACUCGCGGCUUAUCAGCUUGUUGGUGGGGUAGUGGCUUACCAAGGCUUUGACGGGUAGCCGGCCUGAGAGGGUGACCGGCCACAUUGGGACUGAGAUACGGCCCAGACUCCUACGGGAGGCUGCAGUGGGGAAUAUUGCACAAUGGGCGGAAGCCUGAUGCAGCAACGCCGCGUGCGGGAUGACGGCCUUCGGGUUGUAAACCGCUUUCGCCUGUGACGAAGCGUGAGUGACGGUAAUGGGUAAAGAAGCACCGGCUAACUACGUG
rnacentral:rRNA from 1 species